CAGUAGCCGCGGUAAUACGUAGGGUGCAAGCGUUAAUCGGAAUUACUGGGCGUAAAGCGUGCGCAGGCGGUUAUAUAAGACAGAUGUGAAAUCCCCGGGCUCAACCUGGGAACUGCAUUUGUGACUGUAUAGCUAGAGUACGGCAGAGGGGGAUGGAAUUCCGCGUGUAGCAGUGAAAUGCGUAGAUAUGCGGAGGAACACCGAUGGCGAAGGCAAUCCCCUGGGCCUGUACUGACGCUCAUGCACGAAAGCGUGGGGAGCAAACAGGAUUAGAUACCCCCGUAGUUCCUGUCUCUUAUAC
rnacentral:rRNA from 1 species